AGAUACAGAGAAGAUCAGUAUGGUCCCUAGGCAAGGAUGACACACAAAUUCGUGAAGCAUUCCAUUAAAAG
rnacentral:snRNA from 1 species